rnacentral:misc_RNA from 1 species
AACCAUUCUCACCUGCGGCUAGACCUGCGGAAGGAUCAUUACAGAGUUGCAAAACUCCCUAAACCAUUGUGAACGUUACCUAAACCGUUGCUUCGGCGGGCGGCCCGGGUCCUUCCCGGCGCCCCUCGGCCCUCGCGGGCGCCCGCCGGAGGUAAACCAAACUAUUGCAUUGUAUGGCCUCUCUGAGUCUUCUGUACUGAAUAAGUCAAAACUUUCAGCAAUGGAUCUCAGAUCGGAAGA